UACGUAGGGGGCUAGCGUUGUCCGGAAUCAUUGGGCGUAAAGCGCGUGUAGGCGGUUCGGUAAGUCUGCUGUGAAAGUCGGGGGCUCAACCCUCGAAAGCCGGUGGAUACUGUCGGACUAGAGUGCGGAAGAGGCGAGUGGAAUUCCUGGUGUAGCGGUGAAAUGCGCAGAUAUCAGGAAGAACACCCGUGGCGAAGGCGGUUCUCUGGGACGGUACUGACGCUUAGACGCGAAAGCGUGGGGAGCGAACAGG
rnacentral:rRNA from 1 species